CCUACGGGUGGCUGCAGUGGGGAAUAUUGCGCAAUGGGCGAAAGCCUGACGCAGCGACGCCGCGUGAGGGAUGAAGGUCUUCGGAUCAUAAACCUCUGUCAGCAGGGAAGAACGGUCACUGUGCUAAUCAGCAGUGAAUUGACGGUACCUGCAAAGGAAGCACCGGCUAACUCCGUGCCAGCAGCCGCGGUAAUACGGAGGGUGCGAGCGUUAAUCGGAUUUACUGGGCGUAAAGCUCUCGUAGGCGGUAUGUCAAGGCAAGGGUGAAAUCCCCGCGCUCAACGUGGGAACUGCCGUUGAAACUGGCAAACUGGAGUGUGUGAGAGGAUAGUGGAAUGCCAGGUGUAGGAGUGAAAUGCGUAGAUAUCUGGAGGAACAUCAGUGGCGAAGGCGACUAUCUGGCACAUAACUGACGCUGAGGAGCGAAAGCGUGGGUAGCAAACAGGAUUAGAUACCCGUGUAGUC
rnacentral:rRNA from 1 species